UGUAAGCGUAUACCAAAGUUGUUGCAGUUAAAACGCUCGUAGUCGGAAUUUGGCAGUUCCGGAAGUGUGCACGUCGUGUACGCACUUUGCGGGGACUGCUUUUGUGGUCUUGCGUAGGAUGAGGCACUUUCAUUAGUGAACGUCCUCACGCAACCACUCUUUACUGUGAGAAAAUCAGAGUGCUCAAAGCAGGCAUUUGCCGUGAAUGUAUUAGCAUGGAAUAAUAGAAUAGGACUCGGUUCUAUUUUGUUGGUUUGUUGGGACUGAGUAAUGAUUAAGAGGGACAGUUGGGGGCAUUUGUAUUCCGGCGCUAGAGGUGAAAUUCUUAGAUUGCCGGAAGACAAACUGCUGCGAAAGCGUCUGCCAAGGAUGUUUUCAUUGA
rnacentral:rRNA from 1 species